rnacentral:rRNA from 1 species
UUGGAGGGCAAGUCUGGUGCCAGCAGCCGCGGUAAUUCCAGCUCCAAUAGCGUAUAUUAAAGUUGUUGCAGUUAAAAAGCUCGUAGUUGAAUUUCGGGAUUCGUCGGUUGGUCGGGCUUCACUGUCCGCACUGACCUGACGGAUUCCUACCUUCUGAAUAACCAGCAUGCUAUUAAGUUAGUGCGUUGGGGAAGCAGAGCUAUUACCUUGAAAAAAUUAGAGUGCUUAAAGCAGGCUUGUGCUUGAAUAGAUUAGCAUGGAAUAAUAAAAUAGGACGGCAUGGUUCUAUUUUGUUGGUUUCUAGGAUCACCGUAAUGAUUAAUAGGGAUAGUUGGGGGCAUUAGUAUUCAAUUGUCAGAGGUGAAAUUCUUGGAUUUAUUGAAGACUAACUUCUGCGAAAGCAUUUGCCAAGGAUGUUUUCAUUAAUCAAGAACGAAAGUUAGGGGAUCGAAGACGAUCAGAUACCGUCGUAGUCUUAACCAUAAACUAUGCCGACUAGGGAUCGGACGAUGUUAAUUUUUUAAUGACUCGUUCGGCGCCUUACGGGAAAC